rnacentral:rRNA from 1 species
CAGUAGUCAUAUGCUUGUCUCAAAGAUUAAGCCAUGCAUGUCUAAGUACAUGCCGUAUUAAGGCGAAACCGCGAAUGGCUCAUUAAAUCAGUUAUGGUUCCUUGGAUCGUACCUUACUACUUGGAUAACUGUGGCAAUUCUAGAGCUAAUACAUGCAGCAGAGCUCCGACCUUCGGGGACGAGCGCUUUUAUUAGACCAAAACCAAUCGGGCCUCGUGUCCGUUCUACGUGGUGACUCUGUAUAACUUUGGGCUGAUCGCACGGGCUCGUCCCGGCGACGUAUCUUUCAAGUGUCUGCCUUAUCAACUGUCGAUGGUAGGUUACGCGCCUACCAUGGUCGUAACGGGUAACGGGGAAUCAGGGUUCGAUUCCGGAGAGGGAGCCUGAGAAACGGCUACCACAUCCAAGGAAGGCAGCAGGCGCGCAAAUUACCCACUCCCGGCUCGGGGAGGUAGUGACGAAAAAUAACAAUACGGGACUCUUUUGAGACCCCGUAAUUGGAAUGAGUACACUCUAAAUCCUUUAACGAGGAUCCAUUGGAGGGAAAGUCUGGUGCCAGCCGCCGCGGUAACUCCAGCUCCAAUAGCGUAUAUUAAAGUUGUUGCGGUUAAAAAGCUCGUAGUUGGAUCUCAGUUCCAGACGGGUGGUCCGCCUACCGGUGGUCACUGCCUGUUCUGAGCAUUGCCGCCGAAAUUGUCCGAUGAUCUUUACCGGUUGUCGUUCGGUUUCGGCAAUUUUACUUUGAAAAAAUUAGAGUGCUCAAAGCAUGCGUGACGCAUGAAUAAUGGUGCAUGGAAUAAUGGAAUAGGACCUCGGUUCUAUUUUGUUGGUUUUCGGAACACGAGGUAAUGAUUAAGAGGGACAGACGGGGGCAUUCGUAUUGCGACGCUAGAGGUGAAAUUCUUGGACCGUCGCAAGACGACUACUGCAGA